UCUUUGCUAGUAUAUCGGUUAGUACACGCGCCUGUCACGACUUCAACGUGCGCGCGAAAGCUGGGUUCGACUCCCAGGCAGAGAG
rnacentral:tRNA from 1 species